UUGAACGCUGGCGGCAGGCCUAACACAUGCAAGUCGAGCGGAUGAAGGGAGCUUGCUCCUGGAUUCAGCGGCGGACGGGUGAGUAAUGCCUAGGAAUCUGCCUGAUAGUGGGGGAUAACGUCCGGAAACGGGCGCUAAUACCGCAUACGUCCUGAGGGAGAAAGUGGGGGAUCUUCGGACCUCACGCUAUCAGAUGAGCCUAGGUCGGAUUAGCUAGUUGGUGGGGUAAAGGCCUACCAAGGCGACGAUCCGUAACUGGUCUGAGAGGAUGAUCAGUCACACUGGAACUGAGACACGGUCCAGACUCCUACGGGAGGCAGCAGUGGGGAAUAUUGGACAAUGGGCGAAAGCCUGAUCCAGCCACGCCGCGUGUGUGAAGAAGGUCUUCGGAUUGUAAAGCACUUUAAGUUGGGAGGAAGGGCAGUAAGUUAAUACCUUGCUGUUUUGACGUUACCAACAGAAUAAGCACCGGCUAACUUCGUG
rnacentral:rRNA from 1 species